rnacentral:rRNA from 1 species
GUCUCUGACCAAAUCACCCACAAUGCACCCGAUCUCGUCAUAUAUCUCAGAAGUUAAGCAGGUAUGGGCCUGGAUAGUGCUUGGAUUCGUGACUGCCACAUACACCAGGUUGCUAUCGGCU